CGCUGGCGGCGUGCUUAACACAUGCAAGUCGAACGGGAUCCCUGGCAGCUUGCUGCCGGGGUGAGAGUGGCGAACGGGUGAGUAAUGCGUGACCGACCUGCCCCAUGCACCGGAAUAGCUCCUGGAAACGGGUGGUAAUGCCGGAUGUUCCACAUGAGCGCAUCCGAGUGUGGGAAAGGCUUUUUGCGGCAUGGGAUGGGGUCGCGUCCUAUCAGCUUGUUGGUGGGGUAACGGCCUACCAAGGCGUUGACGGGUAGCCGGCCUGAGAGGGCGACCGGCCACAUUGGGACUGAGAUACGGCCCAGACUCCUACGGGGAGGCAGCAGUGGGGAAUAUUGCACAAUGGGCGCAAGCCUGAUGCAGCGACGCCGCGUGCGGGAUGGAGGCCUUCGGGUUGUAAACCGCUUUUGUUCAAGGGCAAGGCACGGUUUCGGCCGUGUUGAGUGGAUUGUUCGAAUAAGCACCGGCUAACUACGUGCCAGCAGCCGCGG
rnacentral:rRNA from 1 species